rnacentral:rRNA from 1 species
GACGAACGCUGGCGGCGUGCUUAACACAUGCAAGUCGAACGAGGACCAGGGAGCUUGCUCCCUGGAGCCGAGUGGCGAACGGGUGCGUAACACGUGACCAACCUGUCCUAGGGUGGGGGACAACCUGGGGAAACCCGGACUAAUACCGCAUGAUGUCCCGACCUCGCAUGGGGGCGGGAUCAAAGAGGGCCUCUGCUUGCAUGCUCUCGCCCAAGGAGGGGGUCGCGGCGUAUCAGCUUGUUGGUGGGUAAUGGCCUACCAAGGCUACGACGCGUAGUGGGUCUGAGAGGACGACCCGCCACAUUGGGACUGAGAUACGGCCCAGACUCCUACGGGAGGCAGCAGUGGGGAAUAUUGCGCAAUGGCCGAAAGGCUGACGCAGCGACGCCGCGUGUGGGAGUAAGCCCUUCGGGGUGUAAACCACUGUCAGAGGGGAAGAACUUCGCCGUUUCGAAUAGGAACGGCGGUUGACGGUACCCUCAAAGGAAGCGCCGGCUAACUCCGUG